AUUGAACGCUGGCGGCAGGCCUAACACAUGCAAGUCGAACGAGUGGCGGACGGGUGAGUAAUGUCUGGGAAACUGCCCGAUGGAGGGGGAUAACUACUGGAAACGGUAGCUAAUAACGAAUACCAUCGGAUGUGCCUAGAUGGGAUUAGCUAGUAGGUGGGGGAAAGGCUCACCUAGGCGACGUGCCCUAGCUGGUCUGAGAUGAUGACCAGCCACACUGUAACUGAGACACGGUCCAGACUCCUACGGGCGGCAGCAGUGGGGAAUAUUGCACAAGGGGCGCAAGCCUGAUGCAGCCAUGCCGCGUGUAUGAAGAAGGCCUUCGGGUUGUAAAGUACUUUCAGCGGGGAGGCGUUACCCGCAGAAGAAGCACCGGCUAACUCCGUGCCAGCCGCCGCGGUAAUAC
rnacentral:rRNA from 1 species